rnacentral:snoRNA from 1 species
AGGCUGUGAUGUAAGCACUUCCUUAGUAGGUCCUUGAGUCUCUCCCAAGCUUCAUACAAACUUUCUUGAUCAUGGUGGACAAAGGUUAUUAUCUCAUUGCACAGUUU